rnacentral:lncRNA from 1 species
CUGAGACUAACCAUACACAGCAGUCUCUACCACCACUGCCACAGCCACAGCCACAGCCACCCAACAACCUCCACCAUCCAACCCCAAAUUAAAACCCAAAUUCUUUAAACAACAGAAUUUUCCUCCAUCCAGUGGUUAAUUGUAUAAUCACUAACCUAAUUAAAACUCGAAUUACUUGAGAUACAUAAUUUACCUCCAACCAAUACGGUAGAUCAAGCCUCAACUCAUAUUUCUACACUAAAAAUGUAUCAGGAUGGCAAAAGUGCCUGUUCGAUAGCUUCAUUUUUCUCAAUUAAAUCAAUUGAAGGCCGAGGUAGAUCGUUUUGGGUAGAUUGCAGUAGUGUUUUGGGCCUAUUUUGGUGAUCUUCCAUUAGAAUGUACCUCUUGAUGAGGCAGGAUGAAUGGUGGUGGUCGAUGGUAAUAUGCAUCGUCGAAAGUCGUGUUCUCGAUUUGUGAAGGGGUCGAAAAUCGAGGAUAUUUUUGAUAGAUUUCUUCCUACAAAAUAGUUGUUUGGCUUGGUUGUUUGUUGGAGUAUGUUGGGGUGUGAUACCGUCAGCAUGGGGGUUAUUUUUCGACGGCUUUGGAGGCGACAAGGUGAUGGUUAAAGAAAAAAAGUGCGACGGCUCCAUUUGGGCUUUUCCUUUUUG